AGGGACUUAGGUCAGCACCAGACCAAGGGCCUUCAAAGCCCUAAGCGAGGGUGAAAAUCCCUCAGGCCCUA
rnacentral:tRNA from 1 species